CCUACGGGAGGCAGCAGUGGGGAAUAUUGCACAAUGGGGGAAACCCUGAUGCAGCAACGCCGCGUGAGUGAAGAAGUAUUUCGGUAUGUAAAGCUCUAUCAGCAGGGAAGAAGAUGACGGUACCUGAUUAAGAAGCCCCGGCUAACUACGUGCCAGCAGCCGCGGUAAUACGUAGGGGGCAAGCGUUAUCCGGAUUUACUGGGUGUAAAGGGAGCGCAGACGGCAGUGCAAGUCUGGAGUGAAAGCCCGGGGCCCAACCCCGGAACUGCUCUGGAAACUGUGCGGCUAGAGUACUGGAGGGGCAGGCGGAAUUCCUAGUGUAGCGGUGAAAUGCGUAGAUAUCACGCAGAACCCCGAUUGCGAAGGCAGCAUACCGGUGCACAACUGACGCUCAGGCACGAAAGCGUGGGUAUCGAACAGGAUUAGAUACCCCAGUAGUC
rnacentral:rRNA from 1 species